rnacentral:lncRNA from 1 species
AUUCCAUUGUCCUCCCUGGGCUGUGGAAACCCUGCUCCCUCUGCUUUAUAACAAGGACUUUCAGUACGUGAUCUCCUUUACCCGGUCAAGAAUCCUGGCAGGCAGGCAGAACAAGGAAGUGCUGCUGAGGAAAAACCAGAGGUCUUCCAUGACAAUCAAUCCGUUGGAAAGUACUUGGCAAACAGAAGCAGUGGCAGCCUCAGCCUCGGAGGCAUCCCGUACGUCCUGGCCAGCCCAGUUUACGCCAUGGAACAGAGGGAAAAUCCACCGAGGUUGCGAUCCAAAAGGUUGCUUUCUAGAAGGCAUCAAAAGACCAGCAAGGGUACAAAAAUCAGCGCAGAAGGGAAAUGCUCAGAUUGUAAGUUCUUUGAAAGCAGACUCUGUCUUAUCUCUUUUUGUAGCCCCAGUGCUUAGCACAGUGCCUGGCACACAGUAGGCACUUUAAUAAGUCCAUCUUCCUUCUUUCCCUCUUCCAUUCACAGAUUCAGCUUCUCCAAGUUCCUAACACUUCCUCACAAUCACAAAACAUGCUUAUUCACAUGUUUUCUCUUUGUCUUCCACUCUCUUAAAUGACUCUUCUCUACAGACAUUCAGUGGUCCUGAUCAGAGUCUAAGCUCUUGGUCUACAUUCUUUUCUUCAUCACAUGUAGGGACAAAUUAAUAUGAU